GACGAACGCUGGCGGCGUGCUUAACACAUGCAAGUCGAACGGAAAGGCCCUGCUUUUGUGGGGUGCUCGAGUGGCGAACGGGUGAGUAACACGUGAGUAACCUGCCCUUGACUUUGGGAUAACUUCAGGAAACUGGGGCUAAUACCGGAUAGGAGCUCCUGCUGCAUGGUGGGGGUUGGAAAGUUUCGGCGGUUGGGGAUGGACGCGCGGCUUAUCAGCUUGUUGGUGGGGGAGUGGCUUACCAAGGCAUUGACGGGUAGCCGGCCGGAGAGGGUGGCCGGCCACAUUGGGACUGCGAUACGGCCCAGACUCCUACGGGAGGCAGCAGUGGGGAAUAUUGCCCAAUGGGCGGAAGCCUGAUGCAGCAACGCCGCGUGCGUGAUGACGGCCUUCGGGUUGUAAACCGCUUUCGCCUGUUACGAAGCGUGAGUGACGGUACUGGGUAAAGAAGCACCGGCUAACUACGUG
rnacentral:rRNA from 1 species